GGCACGAAAACCAUCGAGUCCCGGCCACAGCGACAGACAUCGAUCGAUCGUCGUCGCCAACUCGUCAUGGGCAGCGAAUCGUCGUGGUCGUCGUCUUCUUCUCCUGAGCAGAUGAUCGACGGGGCAGUCAAGGCUUUCAUGUGCCUCCCCGGAUGCAGGGAUCAGUUCGAAGCCGUGCUGGACGCGUUCCAGGAGGUCGACGGAUCUACGGAGAAGCAAGCGGCGUGCUUCGAGGCGGGGGAGGCGCUGCGAAAGUGCAUGCUUGCUAGCGCCGCCGCGUACGAGUCCUACAUCCGCGACGCCGACAAAAAGACAUCGAGCCAAGCAUAGCCCCUAUAUUUACAUCUUAAUUAGCAGCAAAAGUGAUCUACCGAGCCUUCUUAGAUUCCACAAAGAAAAGCUCUAUUAUGCAUGUCUUACGUUGAUUAAUUAUUAAGUACUAGUGUGUUUACAUUUAGCACGUUUUUNN
rnacentral:lncRNA from 1 species